GCUUUUUAGUAUUUAGUUGGGAAAAAAAGGACCCGUUAUCGCCCCUGUAUGAUGAUGAUGCCUUACAUUCUCCAUUGCAGAGAAACCUCUUCAUCAGUCUAAUUCAUGUGACAUAGAGAGGCAAAUCUUCUUCAUCUUUCUUGUUUGAUGUGACCGGUGUACUCCGAUAUUGCUGACAUUAUGGGAAAAUUAUGCAACAAAUGAAGGGAGCAAAUUGCUGGACAUUGUAUCACAAAAUCCUAUAAUUGCUUUUUCAGCAGUUUCUCAAGUAGA